rnacentral:lncRNA from 10 species
GAACAGCUCCUGUCUACAGCUCCCAGCGUGAGUGACGCAGAAGACAGGAAAUCUAGAGAUAGGCUGACAUUGUCAAUGGAAUGGCUGGGAUCCUGGCAGCAACCAACUUCUGGAUACAAAAUGAAUCCCUCAGGCCCUCAAGAGCAGGCUUUGUGUCCAGAAAAGACCAUCUCUGAGGUGUGUUUUGGUUAACAAACCAAUUAAUAUUCAAUGCAUUAAAUUUACAUAUUGUUUCUUAA